rnacentral:tRNA from 2 species
GGGUGAUUAGCUCAGUUGGUUAGAGCGCACGGUUCACAUCCGUGAGGCCACUGGUUCGAGUCCAGUAUCGCCCACUA